GACGGCUCAGAAACUGAAUCCACAGAGUCUAUUUAUUUAUUCAUUCAACACUCAAAAUCUUCAUUGCAUCAGCCAGUAUGAGCCUGGCACCACAUGAAGAGAACAGAGACUGCUCUGACACUGAGGUGGAGGCCCGGCAGAACGUGUGACCCGGCGUUAGUUUGGGCGGGCUUCCUGGAGGAGAGCAGCUGGUUUGGGGAAGUGAGGCGAACUAAUCUUCAUUAAAUGAAUCAGAGAGAAGCCAGAUGUUUGGAGCUGGAGUUGGGCUGCAUGAUUCCUGCCACCUGCUGCUGCCAAUUUGAUCCUGGAUUGACCAUCUGAACUUUUGGUACACAAAAUAAAGUAGUGAAACACUCCUUUUGCCAAUGAAGUAAGGGAAAUGGCCCUCUUUCCACUGUUUCACACCUGAAAGUAGACUACCUGGUCAUGGGUAUUGUUUGAGAGUGAAAGUUAACCAUGCCACCUUUGCUGUGGGUCCUGAACCAAAAUUAGGCACAGAAGACCAAGAAGGCUCAAUGUAGCUACCUUACGAAGUCCCAAGAGAACUCAGUGUGGACUCCAGGG
rnacentral:lncRNA from 1 species